rnacentral:ncRNA from 1 species
UACCUUUGCACACGAAUUGAGAAAAUCUUAAUUCAUACAUAAUAAUCAUUUAAAUAAUAUUAGCAUG